CCAAUAGCGUAUAUUAAAGUUGUUGCAGUUAAAAAGCUCGUAGUUGAAUUUCGAGAUCAAAUUGUUGGUCGUGCCUCGGUACGUACUGGCAUUAUUGAUUUCUCCUUUCUGCAGAACCUUGAUGUCAUUAAUUUGGUGUCUUGGGGAAUCAGGACCGUUACUUUGAAAAACUUAGAGUGUUUAAAGCAGGCUCACGCUUGAAUACAUUAGCAUGGAAUAAUGAAAUAGGACGUUUGAUUCUAUUUUGUUGGUUUCUAGGAUCGACGUAAUGAUUAAUAGGGAUAGUUGGGGGCAUUAGUAUUCAAUUGUCAGAGGUGAAAUUCUUGGAUUUAUUGAAGACUAACUACUGCGAAAGCAUUUGCCAAGGAUGUUUUCAUUAAUCAAGAACGAAAGUUAGGGGAUCGAAGACGAUCAGAUACCGUCGUAGUCUUAACCAUAAACUAUGCCGACUAGGGAUCGGAUGAUGUUAAUUUUUUAAUGACUCAUUCGGCGCCUUACG
rnacentral:rRNA from 1 species